CAAAAGUUAGCUCAAUGGCAGAGCAAUAGACUCAUAAUCUAUGAUUCACAGGUAUCUCCCUUCGGGAGACGCUCCGCGAACGAUUCCUGUACUUUUAACCA
rnacentral:tRNA from 1 species